UUUGAUGAUGAGAAACAAUAAUAAUAAUUGAUUGAUUUUAAAGUCACCAAAUAUUUUUAACCGAAUCCCAAAAAGGAGGUGGUUCUCAAUUUGGAUGUUUGUUUUUGGUCGAAAGGGUAUAUUCCCCAUAUUUGUUAUUAGAUCCUGACCUGAUGAUAACGGGACCACCUCGGAAGUAUACGCUAUCAAACAAAAAAAGAAUCAUUAAAAUCGAUAAAUAAAUGGCUGAGUAAUCGCGUAACAAACAUACAAAAAAAAAAACGGUCGAAUUGAGAACCUCCGCUUUUUGGGAAGUCGGUUAAAAAUAAGUCGGCGGCGGCCAUCUUUCCAUCUUGGACCAGCUUUCGAUGAACAGCGAACUAUUUGCCCUUUCAAA
rnacentral:lncRNA from 1 species